UACAGGGGGGGCAAGCGUUGUUCGGAAUUACUGGGCGUAAAGGGCUCGUAGGCGGCCAACUAAGUCACACGUGAAAUCCCCAGGCUUAACCUGGGAACUGCGUGUGAUACUGGAUGGCUUGAAUUCGGGAGAGGGAUGCAGAAUUCCAGGUGUAGCGGUGAAAUGCGUAGAUAUCUGGAGGAAUACCGGUUGCGAAGGCGGCAUCCUGGACCGCCAUUGACGCUGAUGAGCGAAAGCUAGGGGAGCAAACGGG
rnacentral:rRNA from 1 species